AGCAGCCGCGGUAAUUCCAGCUCCAAUAGCGUAUAUUAAAGUUGUUGCAGUUAAAAAGCUCGUAGUUGAAUUUCGGGACCAAUUUGUUGGUCGUGCCUCGGUACGUACUGGUAUUAUUGGUUUCUCCCUUCUGGCGAACCAUGAUGUCAUUUAUUUGGUGUCAUGGGAAAUCAGGACUGUUACUUUGAAAAAAUUAGAGUGUUUAAAGCAGGCUCACGCUUGAAUACAUUAGCAUGGAAUAAUGAAAUAGGACGUUUGAUUCUAUUUUGUUGGUUUCUAGGAUCGACGUAAUGAUUAAUAGGGAUAGUUGGGGGCAUUAGUAUUCAAUUGUCAGAGGUGAAAUUCUUGGAUUUAUUGAAGACUAACUACUGCGAAAGCAUUUGCCAAGGAUGUUUUCAUUAAUCAAGAACGAAAGUUAGGGGAUCGAAGACGAUCAGAUACCGUCGUAGUCUUAACCAUAAACUAUGCCGACUAGGGAUCGGAUGAUGUUAAUUUUUAAUGACUCAUUCGGCGCCUUAAC
rnacentral:rRNA from 1 species